UACGUAGGGAGCAAGCGUUGUCCGGAAUCAUUGGGCGUAAAGAGCUCGUAGGCGGCUUGUUGCGUCAGCUGUGAAAACCCGCAGCUCAACUGUGGGCUUGCAGCUGAUACGGGCAGGCUUGAGUUCGGUAGGGGAGACUGGAAUUCCUGGUGUAGCGGUGAAAUGCGCAGAUAUCAGGAGGAACACCGGUGGCGAAGGCGGGUCUCUGGGCCGAUACUGACGCUGAGGAGCGAAAGCGUGGGGAGCGAACAGG
rnacentral:rRNA from 1 species